CUAGCUUAUGAGGUGAGGAUUGUCCAAGCCAUAUAAGGAGACCAAGGACCUCAUAUCCCUCCGAUGUGGGACAACUCAACAGCCCCCUCACGCCAGAUCUCUGGAGCAUGGAUAACAUAAAUGGGGGCCCAACAUCGGUAACAAUAAUUAGGAUGGGCUUGGCUCUGAUACCAUGUUAACAUGGUGAAUCGAAGAUGAAAACAGAUGAAAACCUAGAAAGAAGAGAGAGGAGAUGAGAGAAAACCCUCUUGACUUUCAGAGAGAAAAUGAAAUCUGGUGUCUUCCAGAAGACUCUACCAGAUAUAUAUCCUGUACAAAUGGGUCAAAUAAAAGACCCGAAAAUAAGAGCCCAAAUCUGUAAUAGUAGGCCCAAACCAAAAUACAACAUGUUCUCUAGCCCAUUG
rnacentral:lncRNA from 1 species